GUUGAGGGUUGUUAGCUGGCUCUUAGAGCAUGUGCUCGCCCUUUCAAUUUUCUUACCACCUGUGCACCUUUUGUAGGCUGUGAUAUCUCUCGCUUAUGUGCGGUUCUGAGGGUUUGCGUUUUCUUAAACGCUACCCUUGCCUUCACAGCCUAUGUCUUUAUACACACGCAUGUUUAGAAUGUCUAUUGUAGGUCUAUUGACCUUUACAAACUUAUACAACUUUCAACAACGGAUCUCUUGGCUCUCGCAUCGAUGAAGAACGCAGCGAAAUGCGAUAAGUAAUGUGAAUUGCAGAAUUCAGUGAAUCAUCGAAUCUUUGAACGCACCUUGCACUCCUUGGUAUUCCGAGGAGUAUGCCUGUUUGAGUGUCAUUAAAUUCUCAAACCUCAGUUGGUUGUCAUGACUGAUCUUGAGGCUUUGGAUGUGGGGGCUUGCUGGCUUCUCAGAGGCUCAGCUCUCCUUAAAUGCAUUAGCGGUUACUGAUCCCCUUUCCUGGUGUGAUAGUUAUCUAUGCCUCGAGGGUGGUGAUCUAAUGUAUCAGCUUCUAACUGUCCUUGGACAACUUAUUGACUAUUUGACCUCAAAUCAGGUAGGACUACCCGCUGAACUUAA
rnacentral:rRNA from 1 species